GAGUUUGAUCUUGGCUCAGGAUGAACGCUGGCGGCGUGCUUAACACAUGCAAGUCGAACGGGGCCACCAUUUUUGAAGCGAUUAGCUUGCUAAGAGUGGAAAUGUUGGCGGCUUAGUGGCGGACGGAUGAGUAACGCGUGGGUAACCUGCCAUAUACAGGGGGAUAACACUUAGAAAUAGGUGCUAAUACCGCAUAAGCGCACGGAGCUGCAUGGCUCAGUGUGAAAACUCCGGUGGUAUAUGAUGGACCCGCGUCUGAUUAGCUUGUUGGCGGGGUAACGGCCCACCAAGGCGACGAUCAGUAGCCGGCCUGAGAGGGUGGACGGCCACAUUGGGACUGAGACACGGCCCAAACUCCUACGGGAGGCAGCAGUGGGGAAUAUUGGACAAUGGGGGAACCCGUGAUCCAGCGACGCCGCGUGAGUGAAGAAGUAUCUCGGUAUGUAAAGCUCUAUCAGCAGGGAAGAAAGAAUGACGGUACCUGACCAAGAAGCCCGGCUAACUACGUGCCAGCAC
rnacentral:rRNA from 1 species